rnacentral:miRNA from 1 species
UCUCUCUCUCUCUCUCUCUCUCUCUCUCAGUAUAUGUGUGUGUGUGUGUGAGAGAGAGAGAGAGAGAGAGAGAGA